UGUAAAGUUGUCAAGAAAACCAUUGAUUGACAAGUCCCAUGUAUAUUACGUUCCUAGGAAUAUUUCCAGCAGUUUGGAAGAUGAUAAGGUUUAUUUGGAUGAGUAGGAGGAAUUAUGACAAAGAUUGAGAGACAUAUUGACAUCCAUACCUAUAAUGAGCAGUUUGGGAAUGUUACCAAAAGCGUGUUAAUGCCAAUGUGAGAAUUACGAAUAAAUCGAUACGUUGCUGGCCCCAAGAAAACAAAUUAUCCCUAUUUCGGAGAUGGGGGGAUGGUAGAGGCCUCGAAGUUACAAAAAUUCAUCCUAGUUUGUUACGUGUUCGAUUCGUAAGUGUGCGUGUUUCAGUGUUGUUACUUUCGUGAAGAUUCGGUAUGUGAUAGUGACAGUGAUAGAAUAACUUGCUUGCUCGAUGGAUUUCCCCUCCGCCCAGUCUCUGGCACCUUCCUACCUACCCCACCCUUCCCUACCAUCCACCACCAUCAUUCAUCACGGAGAGGAUGAGGACCGUGGACAUCCGACGCUGGAUAGAUUAAGGUUUCGGUGAACCCUACUGAGGUCUAGCCGACGCCUAAAAGUAAGUCACUAAUGAAUAUUGUUUCAAAUAGACCCGAGUGCAAGUUUUUAUAUUUCCAUUUGUAUUUGUAUUUUUUGAUUUUUAUUACUUUGGGGCUAAUUUGAUUUUUGCACCCAAUAAGGUGGCUUACAAACGGUAAGUUAGCGUAUUAUUGGGCUCCUCUGGUGGUCCAUUGCCAUAUUAUCCAAUUGAGUCGCUCCGCGUGCUAGGGACCGACGUGUGCAGGCACGGCGCCUGUAUUACGUCAAACUUUGAUUCUUAAUACUUGGAUUACUUAUGUGAUUAUUAGUUGCUGCCUUAGGUCCUUUACGCCGUAUUAUUAUCUACAAGACAUACCUACCUACCGUAUUUAUUGUUGCUUUUUAGGGAUGUGACGUUAGGACACGGAGAACAUUUAAAAUUGUGAUUACCUUAUUUCAAUGCAUACCUACAUACAUGGUGUUUUGUCCACGCUGUCUUUUCGGGGUUUGGUUCCACGUACACCUACAUAUACCAUAAAUAAUAUUAUUUACACUUUUAUUUUAUGUGUAUGUUUACUUGUCACUCAUUGGGUCUAUUUGAUAUUUUUUCAGCUAGUGUAUUUACAAUAGUGUAGUGAGGAAGGAGGAAGACAGCGAAAAGUGUUGCGCGUCAAGGUAUAGUGCAUUACCUAUACCUUCUUCUGGCAUAACAGUGGCGGCGGCUCGCGAAUCGGUUUAAGGUUGGCGCCAAUUCCAAUUUAUUUAAAUUCAUUAAAUUUUUAAUGUUGCCAGUAAAUUGUUCGUUUUUAAUAACUCAUUUGAUAUUUUGUGAAAUUUUAAUUUGAAAUUAAGGGGAAAAUGAAUAACGUCUCAUCUACCGCAUAAAUAUAGGUGAAAAUUUUUCGAAAGGAAAAAAUCGUAUUAUUCAUCUUCUCCUUAAUUUAGUAAAUUUUUAAAACUUCAAUUCAGGGUAUCUGCCGUUAUCACUUGGUGAAACAUGAUUGAAAAUUAAAAAUUAAGUCAAAAAAGGAGUAACAAAAACCAUACUAAUUAACAAACAGUAAAUAAAUUAAUUUAUAUAUUAGACCCAAACAUUGUUCAA